GAUGCCUUCCAAGCAUUCGACGGGGGUUCGAUUCCCCCCGAACGCA
rnacentral:tRNA from 1 species